rnacentral:rRNA from 1 species
UACGUAGCAGCGAGCGUUGUUCGGAGUUACUGGGCGUAAAGGGUGUGUAGGCGGUUGCUUAAGUUUGGUGUGAAAUCUCCCGCUCAACCGGGAGGGUGCGCCGAAUACUGAGUGACUAGAGUGCGGGAGAGGAAAGUGGAAUUCCUGGUGUAGCGGUGAAAUGCGUAGAUAUCAGGAGGAACACCGGUGGUGUAGACGGCUUUCUGGACCGUAACUGACGCUGAGACACGAAAGCGUGGGUAGCAAACAGG